rnacentral:lncRNA from 1 species
AUCUUAUACUCCAUCGGUUUCAUGAUUUCCAAUGCUCUGAACUUAUUUGAACAUGAACUGUUCUAAUUCAAUAAAUUUUCAUUCGAAGAAAAGCAAAAUAUCAACGACUUUUUAAUUGACCAUUUCGCUUGUUGGCUUACUUAAAAUUGGCUGCUAUACCUUCUCAGGCGGUUGCUUCCUUAAAAACAUUGAACCAAUAGUAAUUCAUAACUACAUUUCCUUUUAUCUUCUGCAAUGGAAAAACGAGUAGAAAUAACUAUCAUGUUAGUAGAAAUAUGUUUGAUUUGUUGAUGAGGUCCGCAAUGUUAAAAAAGUCAUGGUAUUCUUGGCUUACCUUCUCUUGCAUAUAACAUCAAUUUGUUUUUGGUAUUGUUUUGGCGUUCUCUUAAACAUGUACCUGUAUACUGCAGGUAAGGAAAUCCACUUUAUCACCACAGGUGGCAGGGUAUGUUGUUGUAUAAAGACAUGC